CGUGUAGGCGGCUUGGUAAGUCAGAUGUGAAAGCCCAGGGCUCAACCCUGGAAGUGCAUUUGAUACUGCCGUGCUUGAGUAUGGGAGAGGAGAGCGGAAUUCCCAGUGUAGAGGUGAAAUUCGUAGAUAUUGGGAGGAACACCCGUGGCGAAGGCGGCUCUCUGGACCAAUACUGACGCUGAGACGCGAAAGCGUGGGGAGCAAACA
rnacentral:rRNA from 1 species